ensembl:snRNA U4 U4 spliceosomal RNA
AUCCUUUCGCAGAGGCAAUUUCAUAGUCUGUGAAGUCUUACUGAGACGUGGUUAUUGCUGGUUGAAAACUUCACCCAAUACCCCGCCUUGAUGACUUGAAACAUAGUCAGCUAUGGCAAUUUUUGUAAGUCUCUGAGGAGA